rnacentral:rRNA from 1 species
AGUGAACGCUGGCGGUAGGCCUAACACAUGCAAGUCGAACGGCAGCACAGGAGAGCUUGCUCUCGGGGUGGCGAGUGGCGGACGGGUGAGGAAUACAUCGGAAUCUACUCUGUCGUGGGGGAUAACGUAGGGAAACUUACGCUAAUACCGCAUACGACCUACGGGGGAAAGCAGGGGACCUUCGGGCCUUGCGCGAUUGAAUGAGCCGAUGUCGGAUUAGCUAGUUGGCGGGGUAAAGGCCCACCAAGGCGAGGAUCCGUAGCUGGUCUGAGAGGAUGAUCAGCCACACUGGAACUGAGACACGGUCCAGACUCCUACGGGAGGCAGCAGUGGGGAAUAUUGGACAAUGGGCGCAAGCCUGAUCCAGCCAUACCGCGUGGGUGAAGAAGGCCUUCGGGUUGUAAAGCCCUUUUGUUGGGAAAGAAAUCCAGCUGGCUAAUACCCGGUUGGGAUGACGGUACCCAAAGAAUAAGCACCGGCUAACUUCGUGCCAGCCGCCGCGGUAA